rnacentral:rRNA from 1 species
AUUGAACGCUGGCGGCAUGCCUUACACAUGCAAGUCGAACGGCAGCACGGGUGCUUGCACCUGGUGGCGAGUGGCGAACGGGUGAGUAAUACAUCGGAACAUGUCCUGUAGUGGGGGAUAGCCCGGCGAAAGCCGGAUUAAUACCGCAUACGAUCUACGGAUGAAAGCGGGGGACCUUCUGGCCUCGCGCUAUAGGGUUGGCCGAUGGCUGAUUAGCUAGUUGGUGGGGUAAAGGCCUACCAAGGCGACGAUCAGUAGCUGGUCUGAGAGGACGACCAGCCACACUGGGACUGAGACACGGCCCAGACUCCUACGGGAGGCAGCAGUGGGGAAUUUUGGACAAUGGGCGAAAGCCUGAUCCAGCAAUGCCGCGUGUGUGAAGAAGGCCUUCGGGUUGUAAAGCACUUUUGUCCGGAAAGAAAUCCUUGGCCCUAAUACGGUCGGGGGAUGACGGUACCGGAAGAAUAAGCACCAGCUAACUACGUG